rnacentral:tRNA from 1 species
GCCUGGGUGGCUCAGUCGGUUGAGCGUCCGACUUCGGCUCAGGUCACGAUCUCGCGGUCCGUGGGUUCGAGCCCCACGUCGGGCU